rnacentral:rRNA from 1 species
UACGGGGGGGGGCAAGCGUUGUUCGGAAUUACUGGGCGUAAAGGGCGCGUAGGCGGUUGGAUAAGUCAGCUGUGAAAACCACGAGCUUAACUCGUGGCCUGCAGUUGAGACUGUCUGGCUUGAGUGUGGGAGAGGAGAGUGGAAUUCCUGGUGUAGCGGUGAAAUGCGUAGAUAUCAGGAGGAACACCAAUAGCGAAGGCAGCUCGCUGGGACGGUAUUGACGCUAAGGCGCGAAAGCGUGGGGAGCGAACAGG